GCUGGGCGUGGUGGCGCGUGCCUGUAAUCCCAGCUACUUGGGAGGCUGAGGCAGGAGAAUUGCUUGAACCCAGGAGGCAGAGGUUGCAGUGAGCCGGGGUCCCAUCACUGCACUCCAGCCUGGGUGACAGAGCGAGACUCCGUCUCAA
rfam:Pan troglodytes isolate Yerkes chimp pedigree #C0471 (Clint) chromosome 12, whole genome shotgun sequence.